AGGAUAGAUACAACAAGAAAUUAACAAUGGCUAAUAAUAAAAUAGAAGUUAUAACUCUAUAAAAUUACCAACAUUUACUUUUGUUCUUUGAUGUCAUUUUUAAGUAAUACAAAGAUUGCUGGAUGUGAUGGUGGGAAUGUGAAAUGUCCCUCACAGCCUCCUGAAUGUGAACAUUUUAUUUAGAACUUGAGAUACUGUGUGGGGAAGCUGUGGGACCUUUGGAGUGGACUGUGUGGCUUUUGAAUGUGGGCCACUGCGGUCAGGCCUUUGAGAGUUACAACCUUCCCCAGUUCCCGUCCCACCGCUGUGCUUCCUCACCCACCACAAAAUAUGAGCAUCUGCUGAGAACUCCAGCCCCAAUGCUUCAUCACCCCGGCACCCUAAAUAAUCCUCUCCUCUUUCAAGCGACUCUCUCAAGUUGUUUCUGUUGGGCAUUUUGUCAGAGUGUCAAGAGGAGUCACACUCUACCACAGGAACCUGAUAGCCAGGUUACUCAGUGACUGAUGGCCAUAUUGAAUAUUCAACAAGGGAUGCUGGACAAAUAGAUGAGUCACAGGCAGAUGGCAUGGGCAGACCAACAUGUCGUCACACUAUUCAAAUGAGGCUAUAGAAUGUAAAUGGAAUGCUGGUGGGAACUGUUGGAGACCACAUGGCUGGCUGACAGCAGCAUCCCAGGAGGGAUGGGAUAAGAAGGAAGGCAACUGGGUCACCGGAAGUACCGAAACCUACAUCUGUCUGCCCAAGCUCUGAUUUCCUUGUCUGAUGGGGGUUUCCCCAUCAAGAUGGAUCCCUCAUGCUCGCUCUCUUGCUUGCUUCACCCCAUUCAAGGGUAUACUCUCUCCUCCCUCAGCCCUUCAAUCACCACAAGCCAAUGCCAACAUGGACUAAAGUAACAUCGUUAUUAAGAAUUGGGGUAUUUGGUGCUAGAGAGUCACCGUCCACAACGGGAUGCAGGAAAGAGCUGGAAAUUCAAAAGGCGGUAUCCCGAAGGCCCAAUCCUGUGUUUGCAGAGACAGGACAGGUUCGGAUGGAGGCUCCAUGUCUUGCCUUCUUCCUCCCUCACUUCUUAACAUCAGCUUCGCUCUAUACAUGAGAUCUUUAUGUGUGAA